UCCAUGCAUCCAUGCUUGUAGGGCAUUGCCUAAACACAUGGAAGCUAUCUUCUUUUGCAGAGCAGCAUCGUGGACACCUAACAUUAGUGGUCACUCUCUUAUAUCUGAGAUUAACUAGUGAAGGGAUAUAGUUCCAGGAAAUCCGCCAUAUAAGAAUUAGGAUUUUUGUUGGUAAUUGUAAAUUCCAUAAUUUUCUGUAGAAAUCUUUAGUUUCGGCGUGUACUAAAUAGUUACUAGGAUCCAAGCUAGCUUCUUGUAAUAGUUUGUAGGCACUUCGAACUGUAAAUUCUCUGGAGAGUUUCUCUUUCCACACUUACAUGUCUUCACAAUUUGUUCUCGCAAGAGGAAUCUGCAAUAUUUUUUGAGCGAUUUCCUUUUGAAAGAUAGAUAUUGCGUCUCCUCUCCCGACUCUCCAGAUGAGACCAUUAAGAAGGAGUCCUUUCGUUGCCCAAAUACUUCUCCAGGAGGUGUAGGCAGAAAGCAACCACCUCAUCUCCUAUAAAGUGCUAGCAUUUCUGGUAAAAAAGAGCAGGAAAUCCAUCUUCGCCAGGUGCCUUCGUGGGAUGCAUUUCAAAUAAGGUUUCUCUCACUUCUUCUAUUGUAUAAUUCGCUCUUGCUUAUCCAAUUCCUCCUUCUCAUUUGCAUUGCUUGACUGUGAAAAAGCUAGGUUGGAAUCAUCCCUUUCGGCUUCAAUCAAUGCUGAUAGUUUGGCUAUAUGAUACAUCAUGUUCCAUGAAAUUCCCCAAGAAACUACCUAACUGGGCAGCCAAGAUUUCAGAAAAAAGGCCAAUAGGGACAUCAUGAACUGAACCCAAAAAGGUGUCAGAAAUAGAGAGACCUGUAACGGAUCCUCUCCUAAUUCCAAUUUGUAAAGGACCAGCAGAUGGAACCUUUCAAAACCCUAUUCAAAUCCAUGAUGUGAAAGAAUUGAAACAAAUACCUUUUUCCUCCCAGAUCUCGGAUUCGUACUCCCUUAACCGGAGGCCACAGAUUCGCCAUUGUACUUUUCAUUGUUGGGAAGUCGGUCGUGCUUGCUAUGAGAAAACAUCCUACUAGUAAAAGUUUUUUCAGCUUUUGUGGGUCACAAUUCCUGUUGCAAGAGAAGG